AGAUAUCUUCUUCACAUUGAUAAUACCUAAAUCAGAGGUGGGUUUCACACCCAAAAAGAACUUUUGCUCGCUGAACUGGAUCUCCGUGUUGCUACGCGGUCGGUCCGAAUCACUUGAUUCUGGUGACGUUGGAAUCGUCUUGGCGAGAAGGUCUUGAUUCGAUGCUCAAAACUUAGUUUUGACCGAAUCAAUUUCUGGGCAGCAACAAAGAAAAAACAGAAUCUAUUUGUUUUUCUUUUUGCCGGAAAGUCGUCGCCGGAGUUGCUGGGCGUUGUUUUGGUGAUUGGGAGUACUUCACUCUUGCACUCAAAAAAUUGAUUUUUGAGGGAGCUAACUUUCUAUUUGAAAAUAGCAGGUUGAAGGUAUGUUUUUUGUGAUAGUGAUUAUUUUUUUUGGGAUGAACCUGGCUCUGAUACCACUUGUUGGGUGGAGAAGUAUUGAUCACACACUUAUAAUGUAUGAAACUCACAAGAGAAUUGCACAAACACACUCACGGUAUAUUUAACUCACUCGAUCUGAAAAUACAAGUAGAAAAUUUCUAUUUCUCUCUCUAUCUCUCUGAUUCUCUUUUACUCCACUCAUACUUUUACAAUCAGAUUUCCAGUCCAUAUAUAGGUAGAACCAUAAGAAAAAACAAGAAUGAAAUAAUCACUCAUUUAUUGCAAAUCUCAAAAUAUAUCACGGAACCUCCAAAAUCUUCAGAAAUCUUCAAGCCUGAUAUUGAACAGUUCACCCAUGUGUUUUUCAAGGGCUGCUCAAGUUUAUCCUUUCAACAAAUUCUACAUUUGUCCAUCAAUCUGCUCGUCCCCUAUCUUUUCCAUUUACUUGAUCAAUCAGCUAUUGGAGAGAGUGAGAGAGAUGGGUGACAUUACUGUUGACUCUUUCCAAGAGACCUUGAAGCAACUUAUAACGAGAUCCAAGCUCGGUUUGACCAUAGACGAGAAACGUCAACUUCAAUCACUUCAGGAGGAAAUAGAGUAUCUUGGAGGAUUCCUCAAGGUUACGGAGAAGAAACGCAACGAGCAUUCAAAACUGAUGGAACUUGUGAUGCAAAUCAGAGACGUGGUAUUCGAGGCAGAAAACAUCAUAGAUCUGUUUGUAGGUCGCGAUUUCAAGAGGCCUAAUGCAUAUCAAUAUCUUGAUCAUCCUAGUCUUGAUCUUGAAAGUGUCAAAAAGAAAAUCAAGACUCUUAUGGCUAAGGUGAAGCAAAUUUACGACAUGACGAUGUAUGACAUUAAUGGAGUAGCAGUAAAAAUACCCAAGCACUCUUCUACAGGAAGUGAAGGUAUUGGCGGUGCAGGUUCAUCAGGAGGGAGUAACACAUCCAAAUUGGUAAAAGAGAAUGUGGUGGUGGGUUUUAAGGAGGAGGUAAUCAAAGUAAUAGAGAAGCUUGACGACAGAGGAGAGGGCAGACCGCUGGAGAUUAUAACAAUUAUUGGCGUAGGAGGAGGCGGCAAAACCACUUUGGCUAGAGAAGUAUAUGAUCAUCGUUUCACGUUACAUACCUUUGGAAUUCGUGCAUGGGUUGAUGUUUCCCAAGAUUAUAAUAAGACUAUGAAAAGGAAUUUGUUGAUUCGUAUUUUGGAAUCAGCUUUGCCAGGAAAACAAGUUGAUUAUGAGAAGAGUAGUGAGGAUAAGUUGGGAGAAGACGUACACAAGUGCUUGAAGGGUAGGAAAUAUCUCAUUGUCAUGGAUGACAUAUGGGGCAUUGAAGCCUGGAAUGAUAUGCAAAGAUCAUUUCCUAAAGAAUGCAAGGGGAGUAAAGUGUUGUUCACUAGUCGACUAAUUGUUCAACCUGGCAACAUCAGUCAUGUCCCUCAUUAUUUGGAUCCUUUAACAAAAAAUUCGAGUUGGGAGUUGUUACAGAAAAAGGUAUUCGGGAUGAAAUGCUGCCCACCCGAGUUGGUAGGCAUCGGUAAGCAAAUCGCACAAAAAUGUGAUGGCCUACCACUCGCGAUUGUCACGAUAGCUGGCAUUCUGAAAAAGAAAGACAAGACACUCAACGUGUGGAUGGAAGCUGCCAAACAUUUAAGUUCAAUCAUUGCUAAAAAUCAAGAGGGCUGCAUGGAGAUACUUGAACUGAGUUACAAUCACCUACCUCUUCAUUUGAAAGCGUGUUUUCUCUAUAUUGGAGGAUUCGACGAGGAUCGUGAAAUUCCCGUAUGCGAUUUGAUAUGGUUAUGGAUCGCGGAAGGGUUCAUUCAGCAAAGUGAGGGGAAAAGCUUGGAGGAGAUGGCAAAAGAUUACUUACUCGACCUCAUUGAUAGAAGUCUCAUAAUUGUAGCUCGCAAAAAUCCCCUUGGAAGAAUUAAAGCAUGUCGUAUUCAUGAUCUUCUUCGUGAAUUAUGCUUGAAAAAGGUCGAGGAGGAUAAUUUCCUUGUGAAAAUAAACGAGGAUGAUUCUGUUCGAACUUUUGCUUCAAAUAACCAUUGCCGCCUCUUCGUCGGCAGGAAGUUCAAUGCUGGGAAGCACUUUUUGGGGUUUACCAAGAAAAGCCAUCAUGCUCAAAAAUUUCGUACGACUCUUUUCUGCCCAGGGAUGCCAGGCUCGUGGCCAUUGGAUAUAUCUCAGCACUUUCUUGAAGACUUUCUUGAAAACUUUAAACAUCUCAGGGUGUUGAGUUAUAUCUCCUAUGGAAGCCUAGGAAGCCAUCUAGUUCAUUUGAGAUACUUGCACAUGGUUCAUUCUAUGCAAGGUGUGUCUAAGUUUGAAGCCCCGUUUUCCCACCACCUAGAAACCAUUAAGUUCGAAAUAAGAAUGCGACGCGGGCAGCGUAUACUUAAAGAAAGAAGAAUCAUGGGGUUGCCUUACGAUAUAUUUAAGAUGGUAAAGUUGAGGCAUCUUUAUUCUAAAAAGUGUAAAUUUGCAUUCCAAUUUUGCCUCUAUCUUCCUUAUCCUUCUUCUGGAGAAACAACGAGAAUCUAUUUUGACCGUUCCUCCAAGUUGGAUAGCCUACAGACCUUGCACUCAAUAUGUGCUUGUAAGGUGUGUCUAAGUUUCUUGGUUAGGACUCCCAAUCUUAGGAAGCUAGGAAUUAGUGGAAACCUAUAUUCGGAGGAUGGUGUUUUGAUGAUCCCCGACCUAGAGUUCUUAAAAAUCCUUGAGACACUCAAGUUACAGGACGACUACAGUUACCAGGGCAUGAAUUUCACCCUUCAGAAAGUGCUGAAGCUUCCUCCGACUAUUACGCAACUAACUUUGUGGAGCACGCGCUUCGUGUGGGAGGAGCUCUCAAUCUUCCAAACAGCUCUGCCGCGCCUUGAGGUUCUCAAAUUAUUCGGUGGUUGUGUUGGACCCGUUUGGAAAACAAGUGAUGAGGGGUUCUCUCAACUCAAGUACUUGAAGCUUGAAUUUCUGGAUAUUGUGGAGUGGAAUGCUUCUGAAGAUCAAUUUCCGAUGCUUGAGAUCUUAGUGCUUCACCGUUGCAAACGAAUGGGGCAGAUCCCAAUGGAUUUUGCUAAUCUAAAUGAGCUUCGCAAAAUUGAGGUAACGGAAUGCACCAGCUCGGCGGAGAAAUCGGCCAGAGAGAUUCAAGAAGAGCAAAGAAAUAAAAGAGGAGAUGAUUGUUGCCUAAAUCUCCGUUUGAGUGCAAAUUAUUCCUCUCCCUAUGCCUCAUAUUCUUUGUCUAGUCCGCAAGACAGAAUGUUUAAAAUAAUAAAAAUUUGGAUAGAAAAUUUCAGGAGACGAUAUUUUUAGGGACUGAUUUGCGGUGUCGUCCUCCAUAUUCUCCAUCCCAAACCCCAUUCUCAUGGAAAUUUUGAGCAAACUACCCAUCACCACAAUCCGCAAUUGCAGGUGCGUGUGUUCAAAUUUCCGCAACUUAAUUUCAGACCCUGAAUUUGCUGAACUGCACCUCCCUACAUCAAAACCCCACCUCCUGUAUCGCGGCGAUGUGUGUACCGAUGACACCCUUUUCACACUCAAUCUGCCUGAGGGAUUGGAGGUUUUGAGUUCCUGCAAUGGUUUAAUUUGCUUAUACUUGCCUAGGACUUAAAACCCCUAUUAUGUAUGGAAUCCGGUUGUCGGUGAACGUGUGAUUGUACCCCAAACAGAAAAGGCUUUUUUUGAUCAAUGCGGUUCUGGAUUUGGAUUCUGCUCAGGGACUAAUCAAUACAAAGUGUUGCGGUUUUUAACUCCGAGUAUGGGACUAAUCAAAUUGGAGGCUGAAAUCAACACUUUAGGGACUGAUUUGUGGAGGAGAGUUGGAGAUGCUCCGCGCUACAUGCAUUGGUAUUCGGGCGGUUGCUUUUUGAAUGGGGCUCUGCAUUGGAUUGUCCACGGCACCGAGAAUCGCUUCGAAUCGAUGUGUUGUUUUGACUUUGGGAAGGAGCGAUUCCAACCGUUUCCAGGGCCUUCUAACUUUCGUGGACUUCGGGUGGAAUCGAUGAAUAUGGGGGUGUUGAAGGAUGGUCUGUCGGUAUUUUAUCGAACUACUAUCCAAACGCUUGAUUUAUGGGUGAUGAAGGAUUAUGCGGUACAGAAGUCUUAGACUAGAGAUUUCAUGGUUAAAAUCCCACCGGUAGAAACUUUCUGUGGUCCGAUUUAUCGACCAUUAAUGGUUUGGAACAACGGAGGUAACUUGUUGAUUUGUUCUUUGUCCGGUCUGUUUGAAUGGAAUAUGAGGGACAGAAGUUUUAGAAAGCUCAGGUUCAAUAGGGAAUAUCCAUCUGUCUUUAGAGUGAUGAUGUACAUUCCAAGCUUUAUUUCAAUUAAGAAUGCUGCCACAAGGAGAAACUAUUAAGAUGUGCAGAGGCUGAGAUGUUGGAACAUUUUCGGGAGGGAGGACAACUAAACAGAUCCCUUUUGUGGUUGAUUGAUUCAGAUAGAGAGUUACCUUUCUGGUGUAGUGGUGCAGGGACUCCAUGAAAUGUUAAAGCAACCAAUACUCACUGCGUUCGCUGUUUAAGUACACUAGGCAGUCAAUGGUUUGUGUUUCCACAUCAUAGUUUUCGGUGUUGCAACAUUUUCACACGGAUAUAACUGAUGAUAGUUAGAAUAUGGUAAAUUGUCUACCUUUGUUUCUAGUUCUGUCCCAUGUAAGUAACCCGUGGCAAAUUUCUUUGGACAUGGAUUCUACGGGUUUUUGUCUAGGUUUUCGCAAGCACAUUAAUUGGGACUUUCCUUCUCUUUGGAAAGAACAUAAUUGUGGAAAGUGUAAAGCAGAUUUGGUUUCUUAAUGACUGGAAUUCUUGCUUUGGAGACCAAUACGAUCGAUGCUAUUGUAAUUUUGCAUAAGCUGCUGGGGAAAAAAGUCUCGAGUAGGGAUGUGUGUUAGCAGUGCUCAAAGCAGAUAUAUUGAAUGGUUAUGAUACGUCUCUUACAUGGUAUUGCAGAGAUCUCAAUCAUGAAAGCUUACUAUUGAGGUGACAUACGUUAUCCUAACGCUUAUAUUCCAGAAAGCUUCUGUAUUAGCCGAUGUAGGAUGUCACCUCGCCUUCUCUCUUCUGCAAUGCUCAUUCAGCUUCACUUGCCCUCUGCAGGCCGUACAACCACGGGCUACCCCGUCAAUUGAUAUUCCGGCUUCAAUGUCACAACUCAACUCUAGAAGCUAAUUUUUGAGUUAACGCAGGACAUAAUUGCUUGGUCUAGCCGUCUAGGCAAAAGCUGUGUGAGGGUGCUAGCGGCCGGUGGUGGUCCAGGAAUGAGUAGGUCUAACUAGCGGCCAGCGCACAACUCCAAAAAUUGUGAUAAGUGGUGACAUUCAAUAGUGUUGUAAUAUCCAUUGCGUCUCUAAUAGAAUUGGCAAACUAAAUUACACUUCUGAGAUCAUAAA